ensembl:antisense Gm33051 predicted gene, 33051
GGAGAGGCCCAGCUUGAGUGCUUGGAGUGGUUUCAUUGUGCAUCUUGCAUUAAACCAAAGUAAAUUCCAAGGCAGCAGACAUCGUUUGCACAGAGGAAACCAGAACCCACUGCAGAAUACUUCAACUGUAUUACAAGCAAAGGCCAAUCAGUCCUCAGACUCCGAACCAUCUUCAUCUUGACUAAUCUGGAAAUAACGAAGUUCGUAAGUCUCCUUGUCAGAUGCGACCACACGUAGCCAAUCACGGAGAUUAUUCUUCUUAAGGUAUUUCUUG